rnacentral:rRNA from 1 species
AACGAACGCUGGCGGCAUGCCUAACACAUGCAAGUCGAACGAGACCUUCGGGUCUAGUGGCGCACGGGUGCGUAACGCGUGGGAACCUGCCCUUAGGUUCGGAAUAACUCCCCGAAAGGGGUGCUAAUACCGGAUAAUGUCUUCGGACCAAAGAUUUAUCGCCUUUGGAUGGGCCCGCGUUGGAUUAGCUAGUUGGUAGGGUAAAAGCCUACCAAGGCGACGAUCCAUAGCUGGUCUGAGAGGAUGAUCAGCCACACUGGGACUGAGACACGGCCCAGACUCCUACGGAAGGCAGCAGUGGGGAAUAUUGGACAAUGGGCGAAAGCCUGAUCCAGCAAUGCCGCGUGAGUGAUGAAGGCCUUAGGGUUGUAAAUCUCUUUUACCCGGGAUGAUAAUGACAGUACCGGGAGAAUAAGCUCCGGCUAACUCCGUG